UACGUAGGGUGCGAGCGUUGUCCGGAAUUAUUGGGCGUAAAGAGCGUGUAGGCGGCCAGACAGGUCCGUUGUGAAAACUGGAGGCUUAACCUUCAGACGUCGAUGGAAACCGUCUGGCUAGAGUCCGGAAGAGGAGAGUGGAAUUCCUGGUGUAGCGGUGAAAUGCGCAGAUAUCAGGAAGAACACCCGUGGCUAAGGCGGCUCUCUAGUACGGUACUGACGCUGAGACGCGAAAGCGUGGGGAGCGAACAGG
rnacentral:rRNA from 1 species